GACGAACGCUGGCGGCGUGCUUAACACAUGCAAGUCGAACGGAAAGGCCCCCAUCUUGGUGGGGGUGCUCGAGUGGCGAACGGGUGAGUAACACGUGGGUGAUCUGCCCUGUACUUCGGGAUAAGCUUGGGAAACUGGGUCUAAUACCGGAUAGGACCAUGGUUUAGUGUCUCAUGGUGGAAAGAUUAUUGUUUUGGUGCAGGAUGAGCUCGCGGCCUAUCAGCUUGUUGGUGGGGUAAUGGCCUACCAAGGCGUCGACGGGUAGCCGGCCUGAGAGGGUGGACGGCCACAUUGGGUCUGAGAUACGGCCCAGACUCCUACGGGAGGCAGCAGUGGGGAAUAGUGCACAAUGGGCGCAAGCCUGAUGCAGCGACGCCGCGUGGGGGAUGACGGCCUUCGGGUUGUAAACUCCUUUCGUUAGGGACGAAGCCACGCUGUUUGGGUGUGGUGACGGUACCUUUGUUAAGAAGCACCGGCUAACUACGU
rnacentral:rRNA from 1 species